rfam:Heligmosomoides polygyrus genome assembly, scaffold: HPBE_scaffold0007627
GCGUCGGUGGUGUAAGGCGAACAUCGCUGCCCGGAAAGCAGAAGAUGCGGGUUCGAGUCCCGCCUAUCGCA